rnacentral:rRNA from 1 species
GAACGCUGGCGGCGUGCUUAACACAUGCAAGUCGAACGAUGAUCCUCAGCUUGCUGGGGUGAUUAGUGGCGAACGGGUGAGUAACACGUGAGUAACCUGCCCUUCACUCUGGGAUAACUCCGGGAAACCGGGGCUAAUACUGGAUAUGACUCGAACAGGCAUCUGUAUCGGGUGGAAAGAUUUAUUGGUGGAGGAUGGACUCGCGGCCUAUCAGCUUGUUGGUGAGGUAAUGGCUCACCAAGGCGACGACGGGUAGCCGGCCUGAGAGGGCGAUCGGCCACACUGGGACUGAGACACGGCCCAGACUCCUACGGGAGGCAGCAGUGGGGAAUAUUGCACAAUGGGCGAAAGCCUGAUGCAGCGACGCCGCGUGAGGGAUGAAGGCCUUCGGGUUGUAAACCUCUUUCAGCAGGGAAGAAGCUGCCGGGUUUUCUUGGUGGUGACGGUACCUGCAGAAGAAGCACCGGCUAACUACGUGCCAGCAGCCGCGGUAAUACGUAGGGUGCAAGCGUUAAUCGGAAUUACUGGGCGUAAAGCGUGUGUAGGCGGUUCGGAAAGAAAGAUGUGAAAUCCCAGGGCUCAACCUUGGAACUGCAUUUUUAACUGCCGAGCUAGAGUAUGUCAGAGGGGGGUAGAAUUCCACGUGUAGCAGUGAAAUGCGUAGAUAUGUGGAGGAAUACCGAUGGCGAAGGCAGCCCCCUGGGAUAAUACUGACGCUCAGACACGAAAGCGUGGGGAGC